rnacentral:rRNA from 1 species
UAACACCAGCCCCUCGAGUGGUGGGGAUGAUUAUUUGGCCUAAAGCGUCCGUAGCUGGCCAUGUAAGUCUCCCGUUAAAUCCAGCGUCUCAAGCGUUGGACUGCGAGAGAUACUGUUUAGCUAGGGGACGGGAGCGGUCGACGGUAUUUCCGGGGUAGGGGUGAAAUCCUAUAAUCCCGGGAGGACCACCAGUGGCGAAGGCUGUUGACUAGAACGUGCCCGACGGUGAGGGAUGAAAGCUGGGGGAGCGAACCGGAUUAGAUACCCGGGUAGUCCCAGCCGUAAACAAUGCAGGCUAGGUGUUAGAGCGGCUACGUGCCGCCCUAGUGCCGCAGGGAAGCCGUUAAGCCUGCCGCCUGGGGAGUACGGCCGCAAGGCUG